UGGGGGGGGGAGGGGGAGCUGGGAAAAAGCCAGGAGGUUGUCUCUAGGUAACAAUAAACACUGCAAGCAAGGAGCAGCUGUUACACUUACUCUCUCUGCAUCACAAUGCUGAAAUAACACUAAUAAACCAAUGUGCCCAAUGCACAGGCAUAUACACAUUCAGGGCCAAGCUCUGCUGUACCCCUAGAGCUGCCCUUUGCUUCAGGUCAGGGCCCUUGGUGCCAGUGGACAUGCUUGUCUUGGCCUCGCUAUACUUAUGUGGAGGAUGAGGACUGAAAGUCUGGAGAAGAUGCACAUCGCCUACUUGGCCUGUAAGGGAAGAGAAAAUCAGCACCUUUGAAGACCACAGUUUCUGUUUCCAGCAAAGAAAGUGUAAGACCAA